rnacentral:rRNA from 1 species
UACGGAGGGUGCAAGCGUUAUCCGGAUUCACUGGGUUUAAAGGGUGCGUAGGCGGGUUGGUAAGUCUGUGGUGAAAUCUCCGAGCUUAACUCGGAAACUGCCGUGGAUACUAUCAAUCUUGAAUAUCGUGGAGGUAAGCGGAAUAUGUCAUGUAGCGGUGAAAUGCUUAGAUAUGACAUAGAACACCAAUUGCGUAGGCAGCUUACUACACGAUCAUUGACGCUGAGGCACGAAAGCGUGGGGAGCAAACAGG